rnacentral:rRNA from 1 species
AUUGAACGCUGGCGGCAGGCCUAACACAUGCAAGUCGAACGAGUGGCGGACGGGUGAGUAAUGUCUGGGAAACUGCCUGUUGGAGGGGGAUAACUAUUGGUAAUGGUAGCUAAUACCGCAUACCAUAAGAUGUGCCGAGAGGGGAUUAGCUGGUUGGUGGGGUAACGGCUCACCAGGGCGACGAUCCCUAGCUGGUCUGAGAGGAUGACAAUGCAGACUGGAACUAAGACACGGUCCAGAGUCUUACGGGAGGCAGCAGGUGGGAGUAUAGAACAAUGGGCGCAGGCCUGAGGCAGCAAUGCCGCGUGUAUGAAGAAGGCCUUCGGGUUGUAAAGUACUUUCAGCGGGGAGGCGUUACUCGCAGAAGAAGCACCGGCUAACGCCGGGCCAGCCGCCGCGGUAAUUC